UCGGGAAUUUUGGGCAAUGGGCGAAAGCCUGACCCAGCAACGCCGCGUGAAGGAUGAAGUAUUUCGGUAUGUAAACUUCGAAAGAAUAGGAAGAAUAAAUGACGGUACUAUUUAUAAGGUCCGGCUAACUACGUGCCAGCAGCCGCGGUAAUACGUAGGGACCAAGCGUUAAUCGGAAUUACUGGGCGUAAAGGGCGCGUAGGCGGUCGAGUAAGUCGGAUGUGAAAUCCCCGGGCUUAACCUGGGAAUUGCAUUCGAUACUGCUUGGCUAGAGUGUGGAAGAGGGAAGCGGAAUUCUUGGUGUAGCGGUGAAAUGCGUGGAUAUCAAGAGGAACACCUGAGGUGAAGACGGGUUGCUGGGCUGACACUGACGCUGAGGCGCGAAAGCCAGGGGAGCAAACGGGAUUAGAUACCCAGGUAGUCCCUGAGCGGGCUGGCAAGGCGCAU
rnacentral:rRNA from 1 species